CUACGGGAGGCAGCAGUAGGGAAUUUUGGACAAUGGGCGCAAGCCUGAUCCAGCCAUGCCGCGUGAGUGAAGAAGGCCUUCGGGUUGUAAAGCUCUUUCGGCCGGGAAGAAAUCGUGGUCUCUAACAUAGGCCAUGGAUGACGGUACCGGACUAAGAAGCACCGGCUAACUACGUGCCAGCAGCCGCGGUAAUACGUAGGGUGCGAGCGUUAAUCGGAAUUACUGGGCGUAAAGCGUGCGCAGGCGGUUUUGUAAGACAGAUGUGAAAUCCCCGGGCUUAACCUGGGAACUGCGUUUGUGACUGCAAGGCUAGAGUACGGCAGAGGGGGGUGGAAUUCCUGGUGUAGCAGUGAAAUGCGUAGAGAUCAGGAGGAACACCGAUGGCGAAGGCAGCCCCCUGGGCCUGUACUGACGCUCAUGCACGAAAGCGUGGGGAGCAAACAGGAUUAGAAACCCUAGUAGUCC
rnacentral:rRNA from 1 species